rnacentral:lncRNA from 1 species
CUACCCCUGAAGCUUACUGUUAGUGGUCGAGUUUUUCUGGAAGUGGGCUUCCGCGAUCGCGGGGACCAACGCCCUGAGCUCUUGUGCCCAAAGGGGAUCGCCAGGUUUUUUGAUGCGGAUCGAAAGGGACUGGCCCCGGAGCCUACAACCUGACGCAGGUGGGACUUGGGGAAAUGUCGAGAAACCUAGGUCUGGGACUUGAGUUGGCUUCCAGGGCACACAUUCUUGUUCAGAAGAAACACAUUGCAAAAAUCGGGAGGUGACGGGCAGAUGAAGUGUCGGCGCUUCGCCUCGGGACUCCAGUGCAACCUAUGGGGCUUUUGGAAAUGAGGAAGUCGAUGACUCUGCAGGGACUCCUCUGACCCAGGAGCAGAUGGCGCUCGUCUGGGCACUCCCCAGGAGAAAAGGUGGACAAGGUGGAGGAGAGAGAAUUCCUUGGCAGUAGCAUUAUGAACAAAUGCAGGGCUGAGAAACAGCAUGGUGGCCUUGACUAAGUUUAUGGCGACAGCAGAUGGAGUCUUGCUCUGUCGCCCAGGCUAGAGUGCAGUGGCGCGAUCUCAGCUCACUGAAACCUCUGCCUCCCGGGUUCAAGUGAUUCUCCUGCCUCCGCCACGCGAUGCCUCUUCAUGGGUGGUGGAUGAAGAAACUGAACAGGGCCAUGAUCCUUAUCUGUAAUUUCCCGGCUACCACACUGCUUUGGUGGUCUUCCCUCGUCUCUUCCUGGGUAGAAACAACUACCUGGAGAUCCCAAUGUUCUUGUCAGUGCACUUUUCAUGGACUGCAGUGGUAAGACGAUGUGUUGGAUGCCCAAACACAAACCAAGAGCCCUCUACCUUCGCAAUUCCCGGUGCUGUGGAGCUGUCAGAGUUUUAACAUCUCAACCAAGCCACAUGGAUACUAUUUCCUCAGAAAAGACAAAAUUGAUCCAAGCAGAAGAGUGAACUCACCGAAGAGGACUCUCUACCCAUAACUGGGGAUGCCUCAGCCACUCACACUUACUCCAAGAUUAGUGUCACUGAUUAUGGAAAGAAUUGACUUCUUCCCCUGGUCUUGCUCAUUUUUCUAGAGCCCAGGACAAUAAAUGUGUUUUACGGCAGAGAAAAGUGAAGACGGGUGGAAUUGUGUGUGUUGAGAGAGAAGCAGAUAGGCAAUCUUACGCUUUGGCUCCUAGAUUAUGCAGGUGCCUCUUUUCUAUCAUCUCCAUAAAUCCUACCCUUACUGCGCUUCCUAUUCUGCAGGGGUAUUUUGUUGUCCGUAACAGAACUCCUCCUCUGUCUGUAAAGUUUAGGUUUUGAUAAAAAAUCCUCUUCCCUCCAGAAGCGUCUACUAAAAAUACAAAAAAAUUAGCUGGGUGUGGUGGCAUCCACCUGUAGUCCCAGUUACUCAGGAGACUGAGGCAGGAGAAUCGCUUGAAACUGGGAGGCGGAGGUCGCAGUGAGCCAAGAUCAUGCCACCGCACUCCAGCCUGGGUGAGAGUGAUACUCCGUCUCAAAAAACAAAUGAACAAUAAAAAACAAACAAAAAAGAAAUAAAUGUCUAGGGCUAGGUGCCAUGGCUCAUGCCUAUAAUCCCAGCACUUAGGGAGACAUAGGUGGGCAGAUCACUUGAGGUCAGGAUUUCGAGACCAGCUGGACAACAUGGCAAAACCCUGUCUCUGUUAAAAAUACAAAAAUUAGCCAGGUUUGGUGGCCCACACCCAUUGGGAGGCUGAGGCAUGAAAGUCACUUGAACCUGUGGAACCUGGGAGGUGGAGGUUGCAGGGAGCCAAGAUCAUGCCACUGCAGGUGAGCCUGGGUGACAGAGCAAGACUCUGUCUCAAAAAAAAAAAAAAAAAAAAAAAAAAGAGAGAGAAAGAAAUAAGUGUCUAGAAUAUUUUAAAGGCUAUGGAAAUAAAGCAGGAAUAUUUUCAUGAAAGGCAGCUUAUAAAGGAUGAGGAUGGUUUUCUCUUUAGGGUAAAGGAACUAAUAUUUAUUAAGCACUUACUAUUUAUCAGGCAGUAUGUGACAUACAAUGUAUGUGGGAGUGUGUGUGUGUCUUUCCUCACAAUUAUUUUAUAGAGUAGGGGUUAGUACAAUGAAGAUGUUGUAGCUUAGAGAGAGGAAGUGGCAAAACCAGAAUUGGAAAACAAGACUGUUGGGCUCCAAGGUCCAUGCACUUUUCCCCUUUAAAGGUCUUAGGUAAAGAGUAGACCCAUUUGGAUAGGCCCAAACUAACAGUCUAUCUCCAGAGUCCUUGUCCUAAAUUCUUUACCCCACUGCCUUCUGAGAGGAAGUUCAUCUUUUUACCAGGGAGUAGCCACCUUCAGAAGAAUUCUCCUGUCUAUAUAACCAAAUUAAUAGAAUCCUGGUAAAUCAACUGGAAUGUUAACUGUUCUGAUUUUCAACUGUUUUUACCUUCAUCAUUAAUACUGAAUAUGGACUGUAGGUUGGAUAACUGCUGUUCAAGGUAAGGAACUCUGAGCAGCAGCCUUGAGCUACCAAGGCAUUAAAUAGGAUUUUUGCUUAAAAAUCCUAUAUUUUUGCUUAAAAAUAUUAAAAAUAUGACUGAGUAUAUGUAUAUAUUCCCCCCACAUUCCAAAGAUAAACACUGUUAAGCAUGUAAAGCACAUUUUACUGUAUAUAUAUGGGUGGCAUAUGUGUGUGAGUGUGUGUGUGUAUACAUAUAUACACAUACACUUCUAGACAUUUAUAUACAUGUGUUGUGUGUAUAUGUUGUGUAUGUUUUUAAAAAGGGAUUGUCUUUGGCUGGGCACAGUGGCUCACGCCUGUAAUCCCAGCACUCUGGGAGGCUGAGGCAGGAGGAUUCCUUGAGCUCAGGGUUUUAAGAGCAGCCUGGCCAACAUGGCAAAACCCCAUCUCUACUAAAAAUACAAAAAUUAAAAAAAAGAAAUUUAUCUGGAUGUGGUGGCGCCACCUGUAAUCUCAGCUACUUGGGAGGCUGAGGCAGGAGAAUCGCUUGAAGCUGGGAGGCAGAGGUUGCAGUAAGCUGAGAUUGCUCCACUGCAUUCCAGCCUGGGUGACAGAGUGAGACCCCAUCUCAAAAAACAAAGUUGGGGCAGGGGGGGAUUUGCUAUCCUAUUAAAAAUUUUUGGAUCUUUUUUUUUAAAAACUUAAUGCUAUUUCUUGAACACCUUUACUUAAAGAAAAUAGAUAGCUAAAUAUUGCAGUGUGAAGAAAAAGGUCAAUAAAUAUUUGUUGAAUUAAUGUAACAUUUCCUUUGAUCACCAGCUGCUUCUAAUUCCCUACUUCAGGUAUUGUUGAAUACUACAUUGCUUUAGGCAAAAAGUGUUUUAUUUCUCACUGGAUCAAAAACAAUUAAGGAUGUCAUUUUCUCUUCUUCCUUUGAGUUCCAAUAAAUCUACAUUUGUUCUUGUUCCCUUGUUUAGAGGUGCAAUGGAAAAGAAGUUUGCAGAUUGUACUCCUGCCUGGUUGGAUAAACUCAUUUGAAAAUAAGCUCCUGUUUUGUGCAGAUGCAAAUUUAAAUGUGCUAUUUGUAACUAAUCACUGAUAAAAUAGAGAUUUCCAAAAUAUAUUGAGAAAAAGAGCUGCAGAAUAAUUUGCAAGUUUCAUAAAAUCAGGAAGAAUGCAUUUAAAAACUAAAGUAAGCUAGGAAGGAUGGCUCAUGCCAGUAAUCCUAGCACUUUUGGUGACUGAGGUGGGAGGAUCACUUGAGCCCAGGAGUUUAAGGCCAGCCUGUGCAACAUAGAUCUCAUCUCUACAAAAAAAUUAAAAAAUUAGCUAGAUAUGGUGGCAUAUACCUAUAGUUCCAGCUACUCAGGAGGCAGAGAUGGGAGGAUCACUUGAGCCUAGGAGGCUGAACCUGCAGUGAGUCAUGAUUGCACCACUGCAUUCUAGCUUGGAUGACACAGUGAGACCCUGUCUCAAAAUAAACAAAACAAAACAAAAAAGAAAAGAAAAACUAUGGUAGAAGUGGUAGGGGGAAUUGAGGGAAUGGGGGAAAGGAAAGGCCAAAGACUUUUUCUAUGCCUUUUAAUACUUUCUCAUUUUUGAACCAUCUGAAUAUAUAUGACUUGGGCAAAAAAAAUUUAAGCAAAAAAUAUUGCAUCUGUUUCUUUCAUUGUAACUAUGCUAAGUUUGGUGAAAAUUGUUCUUUAUUUUUAAAUUUUGUUUUCUCUUACACUAAACUAUUGUGAUGGUUAAUUUUAUGUGUUAAUUAGACUGGGCCAUGAUAUGCCCAGAUAUUUGGUCAAUCAAUAUUCUGAGUGUUCUGUGAGUGUAUUUUUGGAUGAGUUUGACUUAUUAAUAUUAUUGUUAAUAUUAUUUUUUAGACAGGGUCUCUCUCUCUGUCACCCAGGCUGGAGUGCAGUGGUACAAUCUUCGCUCACUGCAGCCUCAACCUCCUGGGCUCAAGUGAUCUUCUCACCUCAGCCUCCUGAGUAGCUGGGACUACAGGCAUGUGCUACCACACCUGGCCAAUUUUUCUAUUUUUUGUAGAGACAGGGUUUCACCAUGUUGCCCAAGCAGGUCUUGAACUCCUGGUCUCAAGCAAUCCCUCUACCUCUACUUUCCAAAGUGCUGGAAUUACAGGUGUAAGCCACCAUGCCUGGCUGAGUUUAACAUUUUUAAAUUUAAAUUUAAAUUUUUAUUUUUAUUUUUUUGAGACAGAGUUUCACUCUUGUUGCCCUGGCUGGAGUACAAUGGUGCAAUCUCGGCUCACCACAACGUCUGCCUCCAGGUUCAAGCGAUUCUCCUGCCUCAGCCUCCCAAGUAGCUGGGAUUACAGGCACCUGCCACCAGGCCCAGUUAAUUUUUGUAUUUUUAGUGGAGAUUGGGUUUCACCAUGUUGGCUAGGCUGGUCUCGAACUCCUGACCUCAGGUGAUCCACCUGCCUCAGCCUCCCAAAGUGUUGGGAUUACAGACAUGAGCCACCACGCCCGGCCUUAAAUUUUUAUUUAUAUUUUGAGGGGGUCUCAUUGUGUUGCCCAGACUGGAGUGCAAUGGCACGAUCAUGGCUCACUGCAAUCUCCACCUCCUAAGCUUGAUUCUCCUGCCUCUGCCUCCUGAGUAGCUGGAACCACAGGUCUGCACCACCAUACCAGGCUAAUUUUUUGUAUUUUUGGUAGAGAAGGGGUUUCACCAUAGUGCUCAGGCUGGUCUCUAACUUGUGAGCUCAAGUGAUCCGCCCACCUCGGCCUCCCAAAGUGCUGAGAUUACAGGUGUGACCCAUGGCACCUAGCCGAGUUUAACUCUUAAAUAAAUAAACUGUGCCAGGCAUGGUGGCUUGCACCUGUAAUCCCAGCAAUUCAGGACAUGGAGGUGGGAGAAUUGCUUGAACCUAGGAGUUUGAGACCAGCAUGGACAACAUAGUGAGACCUUGUCUCUAAAAAUAUAAAAUUUUAAUUAAAAAAAAACUGAAUAAAGCAGAUUACCCUCCCCAAUGUGGGUGGGCCUCAUCCCGUCAGUUGCAAGCCUGACUAGAACAAAAGCCUGGCCUCCCAGGAAGAAGAGGGAAUUCCUCCUGCCCGACUGUUUUUUAGCUGGGACAUUGGUUUUAUUUCUGCCUUUGAACUCAACCUGAAACACUGGCCGUUCCUGGAUUUUGAGCCUGCUGGCCUUCAAACUGGAUCUAUACCACUGGCUCUCCUGGGUCUCCAGCUUCCUGACUGCAGAUCUUGGGAUUUGUUGGUCUCAUAAAUAUUAUAUAUGUAUAUGUAAAAUGUUGAUUCUGUUUCUCUUUAAAAAGAAAAGACAGCUGGCCAGGCACGGUGGCUCACACCUGUAAUCCCAGCACUUUGGGAGGCUGAGGCGGGUGCAUCACCUGAGGUCAGGAGUUCGAGACCAGCCUGACCAAAAUGGAGAAACCCCGUCUCUACUAAAAAUACAAAAUUAGCUGGGCGUGGUGGCGCAUGCCUGUAAUCCCAGCUACUCAGGAGGCUGAGGCAGGAGAAUAGCUUGAACCUGGGAGGUGGAGCUUACAGUGAGCCACCGAGAUUGUGUCAUUGCACUCCAGCCUGGGCAACAAGAGCAAAUCUCCAUCUCAAAGAAAAGACAAGACAAGACACCUUUGAGGUCCUCUUCUGGUCCUCUGCACCAGAAAGCUUGGGAGAGUGGGGACAUAUUUUUCCCCCAUUGCUGCAUUCCUAGUAACUAGAUGUGUGCUGCAAAAAAAAAAAAAUAGUUUAAGGAAUGAAUUGGUAGCUAUUGUUAUAUGUAAAUGUGAAAUUAAUAUCUACAAAUACAUAUCUGUAUUUAUAAAUUGUACUUACGUAGAGAAACAAAAAAAUAAAAAUAAUUGUAAUUACAUACUUAGGGAAUAUAUGCUUCUAUUAAUCUAAAAUUUAAUUAUUAGCGUCUUUUUUUUUUUUUUUUGAGACAGAGUUUCGCUCUUGUUGCCCAGGCUGGAAUGCAAUGGCACGAUUUCAGCUUACCACAACCUCUGAGGCACGAGAAUGGCUUGAACCCAGGAGGCGGAGGUUGCUGUGAGCAUCACCCACUGCCAGCCUGGGUGACUGAGCAAGACUGUCUAAAAACAACAACAACAACAACAACAACAACAAACAAACAACCAACAGAAAUUAGAGUUGAGUAGAAAUUUUCAGCAUCACUAAUAAUCAGACAAAUAUAACAAAACCAAGUGACAGAUACAAUAGAUUCAAAUCUCUUGUGGCAGAGGUGUGCAUUGGGUGGUGACUUUAGGUUGCAGUUGGCCCUUCCAUUAGGAAAAGUUACAUAAAUUAACUUCUGUAGGGAUCAUUCCCUAAUAUUGAUGUCAUCAGCACUACGCUCUAAACAACUGAGCUAACAGACCACACAGAAAACAGACUGCUGUGUUUUCAGAAAGAUCUGAUUCAGGUAAAAUCUAUGUCAUCUGGUGAAUUAGUCCAUUUUCAUGCUGCUGAUAAAGACAUACCCAAGACUGGGUAAUUCAUAAAGAAAAAGAGAUUUAAUGGACUCACAGUUCCACGUGACUGGGGAGGCCUCACAAUCAUGGUGGAAGGCGAAAGGCACGUCUUAGGUGGUAGCAGACAAGAGAGCAUGAGAGCCAAGUGAAAGGGGAAACCCCUUAUGAAAUCAUCAGAUCCUGUGAGACUUAUUCACUACCACAAGAACAGAUCGGGGGAAACUGCCCCCGUGAUUCAAUUAUCUCCCACAACACAUGGGAAUUACGGGAGCUACAAUUCAAGAUGAGAUUUAGGUGGGGACACAGCCAAACCAUAUCAUCUGGAGUUUCAUUUCGAAACAUAACAAAACCACUCAUCCUCUUUUUCCUACCCCAUCCACGUGACAGAAAUAAAAGUAAGAAAACCAACCUUUGCUAGGGAUGAAUUAUUCUCCUCUGUGGGAACUUAGUCUUUCUCAAACCUGAGUAUUCUGGCUGUGAGGUUGCAAAUAAACAUUCUCAGAAGGUGCUUCCUUCCCUGCGCCCCAACAUCCCCAACCCUCUCAAGGCCAGGAACAAACUCAAAGCACUGAGGCAGCUCAUGAAAGUGACCCAAUUUGUGCUGCCACCUGGAUCAGAUAAAUUUCAAGUGUGGAAUCUUGGUGUUUGAUCUCAACCUAGAAACAUAACUAUAAGGACAAUAAUCAUCCAACAUAGAAACAAAUUAACUAUCAGAACA